GCUUCCGUGGCCUAGUGGAUAGAGCGUCCGCCUCGGAGGCGGAAGGUUGCGGGUUCGAACCCCGGCUGAGUCA